rnacentral:rRNA from 1 species
GACGAACGCUGGCGGCGUGCUUAACACAUGCAAGUCGAACGGAAAGGCCCUGCUUUUGUGGGGUGCUCGAGUGGCGAACGGGUGAGUAACACGUGAGUAACCUGCCCUUGACUUUGGGAUAACUUCAGGAAACUGGGGCUAAUACCGGAUAGGAGCUCCUGCUGCAUGGUGGGGGUUGGAAAGUUUCGGCGGUUGGGGAUGGACUCGCGGCUUAUCAGCUUGUUGGUGGGGUAGUGGCUUACCAAGGCUUUGACGGGUAGCCGGCCUGAGAGGGUGACCGGCGAGGUUGGGACUGAGAGACGGCCCAGACGCCGACGGGAGGGAGCAGUGGGGGAGAUUGCAGAAUGGGCGGAAGCCGGAUGCAGCAACGCCGCGUGCGGGAGGACGGACUUCGGGUGGGAAACCGCUUUCGCCGGUGAAGAAGCGGGAGAGAGGGGAAUGGGUAAAGAAGCACCGGCUAGCUACGUG